ACCGUCCAAUUCCAAAAUCAUCUCUUUAACCGUUGGAUUAUCUCUGAUUUAAAUUACCAACUAUACCCUCCAAAGCUCUAUAUAAGCAACCGUUUCAUUCUCCAACUAACACAACCACCAACAAAACAAACAAUCACAAAGAUUCUUUGUCUGUCCCUUAAUUUCCAACUUUUCAAACUUUUUUCAGUUAACCAAACAACUCUUUCACACAAACCAUGGCUCCUGAUCUCAUUACCGCUGCAACCAACAUCACCAACGCUCAAGGUAAGGCCACAAAACGC
rnacentral:lncRNA from 1 species